rnacentral:lncRNA from 1 species
ACAGACACCACAUAUGAACAUCUAAAACUUUUUAGUUAGCUUCAAAUCCAUAGAUAUGAGCAUCUUAAAUUCUUUAGUUAGCCUACAUUGAUAUGAGCACAGCCAAUUGAGUAGGGAGAAUAGACAGUAUACCAUGUCAACAUCACCAUUAGUAGACAAGCACAUAAUCCAUGAUAUAUGUACACGGUACACCAUUGCAUUUUUUUAGUUGAAAAGAGAUCAGAAGCAUCCUAAUGAGUUACAUCGAGAUAAUCUGAUUGCAUGUGUUUUAAACGUCCAUGCUGGGCCGUGUCUUGAUCAACACGCAUGCAGAUUCGAAAGCACAUCUCAUAUUUAAUUUCUACUGAGUAUAAACAUGAACUUGAGUUGUUUUACUCAAACAUAUAGUAAGGAUAAUCCUAUAAGAACUGUACAGGCAAAAAGACACAUUCUGGUUACCCUGCCACCGGCCCAUCUCAUAGCAGUUCAGACAAACACACACAUAACAUGAUAAGAGUACAAAAAACAUCAGAACUCACUGACAUGCAUGGCACAAGCUAGCAAAACAGAAUGAUUAGAUUAUUUAGAGAUGCAUCAACACCAAUCACGAAUUGGACCGGAGCAUGUUAUCCGCUUGUCCAGCAGAAAAUUAAAGAGGUGGUGCCUUUUGGAAACAAACCGCUCCAUCUUGAUCCCAUUCAACUCAAUUUCUGAUGCUACCUACAACACACAGUUGUGUCUUGUGGCCUUGUGGGGAUAAAUAUGUACAUCUGCCAGGAGAAAUUAUGCAUAAAAUUGAGCUAUGAGCUAUGUUUUAUUUAGAAUGCCAGGUCAUAAAAUUGAAAAUUUGGAAAAAUUAAUGGGAUGCAAAUCAUUUUGUGGUUUGAGUGCUGCUCAUUGUACAUGACUGACUUGGUUGAAGUGAAGAAAAAUAAAAAUACCUCUUGGUUUUGGUUGAGCUUUCCUGCAAGUGGUAGCAAUAGGGGUUUUUUCCCACAACUUGGGGCUCCAAGAAGAAGAGCCAUCCAUUUAUGUAUGUGCACGAAACAAAC